CCAGACUGCCGGUGAUAAAUCGGAGGAAGGUGGGGACGACGUCAAAUCAUCAUGCCCUUUAUGUCCUGGGCUACACACGUACUACAAUGGCCGUUACAACGGGAAGCGAAGGAGCAAUCCGGAGCAAAUCCCUUAAAGGCGGUCCCAGUUCAGAUUGUGGGCUGAAACUCGCCCACAUGAAGGCGGAAUUGCUAGUAAUUGCAGAUCAGCAUGCUGCAGUGAAUACGUUCCCGGGCCUU
rnacentral:rRNA from 1 species